GCUGGGCGCAGUGGUGCGUGCCUGUAGUCCCAGCUACUCGGGAGGCUGAGGGUGGGAGGAUCGCUUGAGUCCAGGAGUUCUGGGCUGUAGUGCGCGAUGCCGAUCCGGUGUCCACACUAAGUUCGGCAACAAUAUGGUGACCUCCUGGGAGCAGGGAACCACCAGGUUGCCUAGAGACGGGUGAACCAGCCCAGGUCGGAAAUUGAGCAGGUCAAAACUCCCGUGCUGAUCAGUAGCGGGACUGCACCUGUGAACAGCCACUGCACUCCAGCCUGGGCAGCAUAGCGAGACCCCAUCUAU
rnacentral:SRP_RNA from 1 species